rnacentral:rRNA from 1 species
GACGAACGCUGGCGGCGUGCCUAAUACAUGCAAGUUGAGCGCUGAAGGUUGGUACUUGUACCAACUGGAUGAGCAGCGAACGGGUGAGUAACGCGUGGGGAAUCUGCCUUUGAGAGGGGGACAACAUUUGGAAACGAAUGCUAAUACCGCAUAAAAACUUUAAACACAAGUUUUAAGUUUGAAAGAUGCAAUUGCAUCACUCAAAGAUGAUCCCGCGUUGUAUUAGCUAGUUGGUGAGGUAAAGGCUCACCAAGGCGAUGAUACAUAGCCGACCUGAGAGGGUGAUCGGCCACAUUGGGACUGAGACACGGCCCAAACUCCUACGGGAGGCAGCAGUAGGGAAUCUUCGGCAAUGGACGAAAGUCUGACCGAGCAACGCCGCGUGAGUGAAGAAGGUUUUCGGAUCGUAAAACUCUGUUGGUAGAGAAGAACGUUGGUGAGAGUGGAAAGCUCAUCAAGUGACGGUAACUACCCAGAAAGGGACGGCUAACUACGUG